GACUACAGGAGGUAACGACUACUUUAGUUUCCACAACUAUCUGGCAGAGCACCCAUAAAACAGAGUACACCAGACAACAGAACAGUCGUGAAUAAUACAACAGUUGCAAGAAAACUAGACAUUUUAUUGCUCACUUAUAUAAAUUGUAUCCAUCGGUGUGUUGACCUUUGCAACAUGGAAUCGAAAUACUGUUUUAUUGUUUUAAUUUUCUUUGGAUUAAGUCACGGGGUAAGCCAGGCAUCUGAAUGUACCGCUCGAGGAAGGUUCGUGAACGACGAAAAUGACGACUGUCGAGGCUACACAAUGUGUCUCAUGGGCGGUCUCACAAACUUCACACAAUACAAGCUUGUGUGCCCUAUGGGAUCUUUAUACAGUCACAUGGAACAACAAUGUACCAAUUCAACUAACUACAAAUGUUAUUCAAACUUCAAUUGUAGUAGUGUUGGAGUUGGAAUGUUUCCCGUGCCAGGAAGUACGGAUUGCUCAUCUUUUGUAGCUUGCGUGAAUGGAUUAACUGGCCUAGGCACUGCUAGACUUGUUGGAUGCCCAACAGAUAUGCUGUUUAACCCGCUUGCAGGACGAUGUGUUAAUAAUACUGACUUUUCUUGCAUAAAUAUACCUCUAAACGUAGAAAUGAAUGGAGCCUCCGUAGUAAAUAUCACGCAAUUUUCUUUGCUGUUGUUGAUGUAUUUGAUCAGUUGUUUACUUUUAUUGUAAUUUUAAUAAAAAAAUAAUGAAUGCA